UGGGGUAUAGCUCAGUGGUAGAGUGCUUGCCUAGUAUGCAUGAAGAACUGUGUUCAACUCCCAGAACCACAA
rnacentral:tRNA from 1 species